rnacentral:rRNA from 1 species
CGAACUUCCGUUAAUUGAUUAUGACGUACUUGUACUGAUUGAGAUUUUAACACGAAGUGAGUGGCGAACGGGUGAGUAACACGUGGGUAACCUGCCCAGAAGUAGGGGAUAACACCUGGAAACAGAUGCUAAUACCGUAUAACAGAGAAAACCGCAUGGUUUUCUUUUAAAAGAUGGCUCUGCUAUCACUUCUGGAUGGACCCGCGGCGUAUUAGCUAGUUGGUGAGGUAAAGGCUCACCAAGGCAGUGAUACGUAGCCGACCUGAGAGGGUAAUCGGCCACAUUGGGACUGAGACACGGCCCAGACUCCUACGGGAGGCAGCAGUAGGGAAUCUUCCACAAUGGACGCAAGUCUGAUGGAGCAACGCCGCGUGAGUGAAGAAGGGUUUCGGCUCGUAAAGCUCUGUUGUUAAAGAAGAACGUGGGUAAGAGUAACUGUUUACCCAGUGACGGUAUUUAACCAGAAAGCCACGGCUAACUACGUGCCAGCAGCCGCGGUAAUACGUAGGUGGCAAGCGUUAUCCGGAUUUAUUGGGCGUAAAGCGAGCGCAGGCGGUCUUUUAAGUCUAAUGUGAAAGCCUUCGGCUCAACCGAAGAAGUGCAUUGGAAACUGGGAGACUUGAGUGCAGAAGAGGACAGUGGAACUCCAUGUGUAGCGGUGAAAUGCGUAGAUAUAUGGAAGAACACCAGUGGCGAAGGCGGCUGUCUGGUCUGCAACUGACGCUGAGGCUCGAAAGCAUGGGUAGCGAACAGGAUUAGAUACC